AGAGAAGAGGGGUAUAUACAAGAAAGUGCUUACAAUCUUCAGCUAUCAUCUUCUUUAAGAUUUUAUGGAAUUCAUUGAUAAGUGGCCAGUCAACUGGUGAUGAGCAUCUCAGUACUCAGCCAAGCAAGUCUUCGGAAAGGAGACAUUCUGUUGCCAUAACUGGACUCAAAGCCUUUCCAAAAAUGGUAGAACCUGCCCAAGUUUUCACACUGUUGGAAUAGACUUCAGGAAUACAUCAUCACUUCUAUGCCACCAGGAUGCAUCUAAAAUCUCCCAAGACUAUCAAAAUAGAUGACUACUAUUCACUGUUGCUUGGUCAUGUGUGAAUAAAAGUAUUGCCAAUGAUUACGAAGUAAAAACACUGAAGUCCGUUAAAGAACACAGUACGUUUUCCUCAUUGUUAACUAUUGAAGACAAGCGUUACAGAAGAAAAAAUGAAUUUAGGAAAUGAACUACUGGCUAAGAAGAUGGUGUCUGAGAAUGAAAUGUGGGUUUUUAGAGCACGGCUUACAGCACAAGGUUGACAAAUUCCUGACCAGAGAUGUGGCACACUUAAAACAGAAAAUUCCUCUGACCAUGUAUGGAGGCAGGCAAAUAUUUUAUGAUAAAUCUUAUUGCUCUAGGACAGUUUUGGGAAGCUCUCGGAUCUAACUGGGGACACUGUCAGAUUCCAUCCUGUAUUUCCCAAUAUGGUAACUAUAGAAAUGAAAAAAAAAAGUAGCCAUUGAAAUUAUAUCUAUGUAUGAAGGUGAUCUUAGAACCCCACAUUGGUUCCUAACUAAUAAUCUACUAUUCAUACAGCACUAUAUUAAAGAAAAAGUAUGUG